rnacentral:rRNA from 1 species
GACGAACGCUGGCGGCGUGCUUAACACAUGCAAGUCGAACGGAAAGGCCCUGCUUUUGUGGGGUGCUCGUGUGGCGAACGGGUGAGUAACACGUGUGUAACCUGCCCUUGACUGUGGGAUAACUUCAGGAAAAUGGGGCUAAUAUCGGGUAGGAGCUCCUGCUGCAUGGUGGGGGUUGGAAAGUUUCGGCUGUUGUGGAUGGACUCGCGGCUUAUCAGCUAGUUGGUGGGGUAGUGGCUUACCAAGGCUUUGACGGGUAGCCGGCCUGAGAGGGUGGCCGGCCACAAGGGGACUGAGGUACGGCCCAGACGCGUACGGGAGGCAGUAGUGGGGAAUAUUGCACAACGGGCGCAAGCCUGAGGCAGCAACGCCGCGUGCGGAAUGACGGCUUUCGGGGUGUAAACCGCUUUCGCAUGUGACGAAGAGUGAGUGACGGUAACGGGUAAAGAAGCACCGGCUAACUACGUG